ensembl:lncRNA
AUAGAAGCCAGUUCUGCUGCUUCAGGAGCUGUGUGUUUGGAAACAAGUUGUUUAGCUCUCUGAGCCUAGGGAUUCUUGUACUAGGGGGAUAAAACUCCCUACUUCCCGGGGCUCUGUGAGGAUUCAGUGCAAUACUGCAGGCUGUGUGGGGGGCUCUGCAUCAUGCCUGGUAGAGAGCAGGAGCCCAGUGGCAGCCACAGCCAUUGUUCACUGUGUCAAGUCAUCCUAGUUCAAGUUUAAGGCACGCCCUUUACCGUUUACAUCAUACACAUGUUGGCAUAGGAUGGUUGCCCAGGACCUCUUGUCCACUAUAAAACCAAGAUGGGGAGACGGUGGGAAGAAUUUACCGUAUCGUUAAGAGAUAUUGAGAGAGGGAGAAUUUUAAGUAGGUAGUUUAUUCAGGCUCAGAGGUUUGGACUUGGAAAAAGCGAAGGAGACAAACUUCUUUGAAGAGUGAUUUUGAGCCCUCAUUUCCAUGGGAUUUGUCUGGCCAGUAAGUGGAGUGUUUUCGGGAGAUUGGAGGUAGGCAAACCACGUGGGUGGCCACAGUGAUGAUUUGAGAGGCAGAAAGGAGGGUGAAGGCCCAGAGUAAAAUGACUGCAGAGAAGAAGGAUGAAUAGGGUACAUGAGUCAUGGGGGGUGCGGUUGAGGGGAGGAGAGAGUAAUGCAUGAACCAAAAUUUGUCUGUAGGAUGUAGUGAAGAAGAUGUGUUUCAUUUUAGUAAAGAUUGAGGACUUUGCAAAGAGGAGUCAGAUGGGAAAGAGACAUUGAGUUAACUUUUAGACAGAUUGUGACGCUAAUGUCCUAUCAAAUGUGUCUCAAAAUCAGAAUCAAAUAGAGUCAGAAAUAAGGGGUUGUGUUGGGGAAGAACCAACAUUGAGUUAUUACUUGAAAUGCUCUUUCAUUUUCUUAGUUCAAUACAUAGUUCUUGAGUGUCUCCUUUGUGCAGGCUUGAUGCUACGAGCUAGAGCUACGGGAUUGAGCAAAACAAAGUCUUUGCCCUCCUGGAGCUUCCAUUCCUUUGUGAGAACAGAAUGGGCACUCAAGGAAAUCAUGAUCAUAGCUCACCUUGACUUUGAGAUGACACCAGGCUCAGCAUUUUACUUGGUUUAAUUAUGUUAUUUUGUUCUCAAAUCAACUCGGUAAGAUGGACUAUACUGUAAUCUCUAUUUUAUGGAUAAGGAAUUAGAGGCUUAGGGAAGCUAAUUCAGGAGGUGAAACAGAAGACGUAAGAAUGAGCUCGGCAGGCUGUUGACUGGUGAAACUGGGAGGGAGAAAGGAGAAGUAAGGAAGGAGUGGAGAAGGGGUCAGAGAAGUGGGACAGAAAUCUGAAGCAACAGGUAGCAGUGCUCAAUGUCAAGUGCCCUGGGAAAUCAGGCAGAACAAGAAAUGGGAACAGACCUCGGGGAUUUGGCUGGAAAGCUAACUACUGAUGACUUCCCAGUGGUCAGUCUCCCCAAGGAGCAGGUACACAUACAUGACGCAUCUUAAAUGCUGCCCCAGGGUGAGGGAUGUCUCAUGAGAAAAUGGGCAUGGAUCACUCAGCCCAGGAGUUAGG